rnacentral:lncRNA from 1 species
CACGCACAGGCAGAAGAGAAAGAAUGAGACACCACCAGAAGUUAGCAAGCUGGAUCCUCCUUGCUUUUGCAUCCAGAAGUGCCUGGAACCUCCCAAGCAGAGUACAGGAGGAUGCUGGCCCGCGGUGUGCCACCGACAACUUUCAGCACCACGGACGGCGCCUAUCCCACGUGGGCUCCCGGGCGCUCUCCCCGACCCCAGAUCCCCGAGGAGUCAGAUCGCGGCUGGCCCUUGCCCAACUCCAGUCAGAGACUGCCCCCGCCACCCUUCCCAGAGCGGGUUCAAGAACAACUCAAUGAACCUGAGCUUCGCACAGGCUUGUCACGGGUCUCCGGGGACAGAUGCCCAGGCAGCGCACCAGCCUCACCGGCCGCCAGGCUCAGCAGGAGUCAGUCCCUUUGAAGAGUUUGCUCUCAGGUAAAAGGGCAGACGUUGCACCCGCCCUCUUCUCCGGCUGCGGCCAGAAGAGCGUCUCUUCCUUUCCAUAGUCUCGGUCCGGGCCCGCGAGCCAAGCGGGCCGAGCCGGCUGCGCGCCCAGGCAGGGAGGAAAGGACGGGCCCAGCCUCUGCCCGGACCCGGGCGGC